AUGGUUCCUCCAGACUGGGGCACUAGAAGUCCCUGUUCUCUUUCUAGCAAACAAGAUAAUAUAUAUGUGCAAGGUGCUUAGUUGGCACAAUGUCCAGCACACAGUAGGUGUUUAAUAAAUGCUUGUUUCCUUCCCCUCCCCUCCCCUCUUUCUUUAUCUGUCUUGGGUCUCAAUUCCCUGCUACCUGUCUUAAUUCUGUCCUUUCUAGUCCAAAGAAGGUUCUCUUUGACAAAGAAAAAGGAGUUGAGUAGUUCUGCCUUCCCUCCAACACCUGUUCCCAUCGUCCUGUUCACUCCAUGCAGCAAAUUAAGGGUUCAAGGUUUCCUUUCUUUUAAUGCUCCUCAUUCCUCUUGACACAUCUUUAAGAAGAAAAAAAAGUCUUGACUGUAUGCUUCUUGUUCCCCUGCCUCAACUUUUCCUUAGCUGUAGCUCUCUUGGCAUUCUUCUUUUUUUAGUAAUAUAUUGGGGGGGGAGGGGUCACCAUUAGGUGUUGAAGCGAUCUCCACAUUGUGUUGUGUCACAUUCCGAGUUCCAGAUUCCAGACUUCCUUCUUCUGAGGCCGUGCCUCACACCCACUGUUCUCACUUCUCUACUCAGUAGAAUUAGUUCUUUGUGACCUCUAGGGGCAGCGAGGUGGCUCAGUGGAUAGAGUCUGGAGUUGGGAGGCCCUAGGUCCCAAUCUUGCCAGCCUGGGCAGGUCACUGAGCCUCACCCUAGCCCUUGUCCUCCCAUCUUAGAGCGGUUCCUAAGACAGAAAGUCCUUCCUGGACUAACUGCCCUCAUUUUAAGGCACAGGGGCCUGCCUGUCAUUCCCUCAGAAAUUUGCUCUCCUAAAACCCGAGGAGAGGCCCCAGCCAGACUCUGCCUGGCCUUCCUGACUCCCCGGGGCACUGGGACGGGGGUGCUCUCACCCCCACAAAGCUGUCCUGACUUCUCCGUCAGUCAGAGCUGCCAUCGCCUUUUCCGUCUCGUAAGGAAGAAAAUCAUCACUCAGGCCUACCCAAAACUGGCGCAUGGGAAGAGACAAGCCAACUGAGGGCUCUUGUUGCUGCUAGGCAGUGGGUCGGCCCCUCCAUUUCAGUCCGGGGUUCUGUCAGAGAAGCAACUCCAUUAUCCAGGCCGUUUGACCUGGCAGCUCCACUCCUGGGGAUCCACUCCUGCCCUUACACCAAGAAGUCCCGGCCAGAAAGAAAGGGCCCAGCCACACGGAAAGCAGAGAAAAACAGAGAGGUGCCAGCGGGCUGGGAAAGGGCUACGAAUGCCACAGUCCAAACAAGGCCAGAGGAUCUGGUGUCCCAGCCAGGACACAAAGACCAGAGGUCUUGAGUUCAAAGCCAGCCUCAAAUACUUCCUGGUUGUGUGACCCUGAGCGAGUCCCUUACCCCGUUGCUCAGCCCUGGCCAGUCAUCUGUGUUAUAACUGGUCAGAAGGUCAGGAUUUAAAGAAAAAGCACUGAUUAAGGCUUACUGUGUUCCAGGCACCGGGCACUGAGCUCUGGAGACCUCAGGCCAAGAACCCAAGCCCUGCCCUCAAGAAGUUUACAUUUCAGUGGGGGAGACAAGCCAUAAGGAGCAAGUGUCACGUUCGAGUGUCUGUGCCCCCGAAUGCGUCCAGCACCGUCUCCCACUGCCCAGAACUGCUGAGGCUCCCUUAAAGACCAGACCAGACCAGAGGGAGGACACAGAAAUCCGUGUGUCUGUGUUGUGCUGGGGACAGUCCUGUCCACCCAAAAGCCCCUCGGGGCAGAGACCUAGGCCGGAGGAUGCUGAGGCACUUUGAGAGGUGGCCUCUGAGGACGCAGCCCAGAAGGGAAAGAGUCAGAAAAUGAGCAGUCGUGGAAAAUCAGGGGGAGAAGAGUGAAAUCACCAAAGAUUUCAGGAAGAAUUAAGCCGGGGAGACCAGAAGCUUCUGUCUCCGCAGGGGAAUCCGGGGCAACUUCAUGCUGAUGCGGCUAAAGCGGCCACAGAGACGCUGAGGACUCUUCUUCCUCCUCGGCUGGCAAUCCCUGCCACACAAAGGGUUGGGACAGAGGGCAAAGAAAGGUUCAGCCGGACGGUGCUGAUGGCCCAGCCUAGGGCCGAGGGAGGAAGGCGGGGGCUCCCUGAGGACACGCCAGGAAGAGAAGGGGUGCAGAGCAAAGGCCAGGGCAGAUGGGCCAACCCCCUCCCCCUCCGGGAACAGAGUCCAGGCCAGGAAUCGGAGGACCAGAGACAGGAAGGGACUUGCCCGAGGUCCGACAGCCAGAGGCGAGAAGGAGGUCACAGAAGAGAAGAAGGUCCCAGGCGGGAACAGAGGCCACAGCUGAGAAAAGAGGGCUACAGCCAAAAAGGUCUGGAAGCAGUUCCGGUCCGCGGUCACUCCGAGCCUCGCCAAAGCCGGUCCCCCUUGUAUGGGUCGUGAAGAAGCCGAGCCCGAGCUAAGUGACUUGGCCAGGAAGCCUUUCGGGUCGCCGGCGCCAAAGCCCGGACGGAUAGCGCCCUCCCCUCCCCCUAACCCAGCAGGGAGGCGUGAGCACUCACUGCGGACCGUGGGCGCCGGCGCUGCACAGGCAGCGCCCGGACUGGAAGUCACAGCGGCCGCUGCUGCAAGCGCUGCAUACGAAGGCACAGUCCUCGCCAUACGUGCCAUUGCUGCACCGGGUCUCGCACCUGGCCGGGGGAGACCUGAUGGCUCAGGAACUUGGGGAACUCGGCGGGGCGCGGGGGAAAGAAUGGGAGGGGGCUGCCGCCCCGGCCAGUGGCCUGAGGUGCUGGGGAAGGGGCGGAGGGAGCCGUAGUAGACCCACGGAACCCCGGCCUGGAGGGAGGCUCCCAUGACUGGGCCAUGAUGAAGGACAAGUUCCCACGAGGAGAUGGGGGGGAACAAGAUCCAGGGGUACAGCUAGAACGGAAGUUGGGGUCCAGGGGAAGAGCUCUGACCCAGCAGGAUAUAGGAGAGGGCAAGCUCCUGAGCUCAUGGGGCGUGGCUAUUAGAGAAACCACAUUUUCCCCAGGGGGCGGGGCUACGAUGGGAGAGGGCUCCGGGGAGGGGCCAUUGUUUAAGAUAGAUUUCGGGGGCGGGGCCACAAUGAGGGCGUGCUCAGGGGGCGGGCCAUUGGGAGAAUGCAAGCUCCCGGAGCGCAGGAGGGAGGAGACUAGAUGAGGGCGGGCUUGGGUUCGGGCUCGAGGCAAUUAAGAGAGGGCAAGACUCCGAAGACAGGACGGGGCUAUAAUACAGCCCUACUCCGGGGAGAAGACAUCCAGGGAGAACAGACUCGGAGGGCGGAAUGGAGGCGGGGCUACUCUGAGGGCGGAGCCGGGGUAUACCCGGCAAGUGGACCCGGCUCCCAGGGCAGGCUCUUCACCUGUCCCCGAUCCAGCCAGCAUUGCAGCGCGUGCAUUUGCCCGUAAUGUGGUUGCAGGUGUGGCCAUCCCGGCAGGGCGGGCAGCGCUGCUCACAGCCGUCCCCGUAGAAGCCUGGCCCGCAGGGCUGGUCGCACUUGGUCCCGUUCCAGCCUGCUUCGCAGGUGAGGCAGCGGCCCUCUGCCACGGUGCACGGCUGCUGGCCCUUGCACUGGCCGCACCUGCGGGCACAAGACAGGAAGGGGUGAGACUCAAGACCGCAGGUGCCCCUGCCCCGCCUGAAGGCGCCCGGAGGCGAGGCUGGGAAGAGGCGGGGAAGGGAGGAGCUGUGCCUCGGUUUCUCUGGCUGUAAUCUCCACGGCGCUGGGGCUCACCUGCGGCGGCAGCCCGGGCCGUAGAAGCCGGCGGGGCACGUCUCGCGGCAGUACUUGCCGCGGUAUCCCGGCUCGCAGGUGCACGUGCCGUCCAGGGGGUUGCAGCGGCCGCGUAGGCACUGGCAGUAGCGCUCGCAGCGCGGCCCGAAAGUGCGCUCCCGACACUGGCAGCGGCCGCUGAACUGCUCGCAGGGAGAGCCGUUGCACGAGCACUGGUUGUUGCAGCUGCGGCCCCACCAGCCCGCGUGGCACAGGCACGCACCCGUCUGCGGGUCGCACUGGGAUGUCUGGCUGCAGUAGCAGGCGCUGGCGCACUGGGCGCCCCACCAGCCAGGCUCACAGCGGCACGCGCCGCUCUGCGGGUGGCACGCGCCGUGCUGGCACAGACACGCAUGCUCGCAGCGCGCGCCCCAGCGGUGCGCGUGGCAUGUACACUGGCCCGUCACGUCCUCGCACUGCCCGUGCGGGUGGCAGCUGCACAGUUCCUUGCAAUCUGGGCCCCAGAACUGGGGCGGGCACUCUGGGGGGAGGCCGCCCUUGAAGGCCCCACCUCCCUCCUUAGCACUGCCCCCUUGCCCAGGUUCCGCCUCCUCCCUCCGCCCCGCCCCCAUCCCCACCCCCAGUUCAUUCCCCGCCCCACGGCACUCACUAGUGUCACAGGUCGCUCCGAAGUAGCCGUGGCGGCAUCUGCACUCCCCGGGCCGCACGCACACCUCGUUCUCCGAGCACGUGGAGUUCCCCUCACAGAGGGCUGUCAGCACGAACGAACGAGGAUCCCCAGCUCUGAGCGCUCGCUCGGGUCUCCCUCACCAGGGCAUUGCCCAGGGGCCCCUCCCCUGCCACCAGCUCCCGAAGCCCUUCCUUAUCCAAGGCCUCAGCUCCUCCCUCCGGGGAACUCUCUGGCGCCCUCAUCAGAGCUGUCUCUCUGGGUUCCCUCCCCAUCUCUCCGUGAGUCCCUUACUCCCUGCCUUCCUCCUCUCUCUGGGCUCCGCACUCCCCCCUUCCCAGUGUGCGCAGGCGCUGAGAGAAACCCUGCGGCUCCUAGUGAUUGAGGACCUCCCCCAUAAUCCUGCCCCACCCCCACCCCCAGGCCUAGAGCCUCGCUUACCCAUAGUGCACUCCUCGCCUUGCUGCCUCCAUCCGGCACAGCACGUGAGCACUUGCGAACUGUGGGGAAGGAAACACCGUGAACCCUGCAGAAACCACCCAGGACCUAUCGGGGUCCUCCCACCGCAUCCCAGCUACAGAUGCGGACAUUGCUCAGGAAAACGCUCCUCCCUCUGUCACCUCCGGGCUCUGAGCUGGAUUGCAAACAUCCAUCCCCGCCCACAGGCGCUCUUUCACACCUCCGAGGGCAGCCCCAGAGGCAGCCUGAUCCCACUUGGGGCAGCUCUAAUUCCCAGGAAGCUCCUCGAGCCUCAAUCUCCGUUCUUCGCACAAGCAACCCAUCCCCUGGCCCAGGGAAAGCUCUGCAAGUCCUCCCGGGAUCUCACUGCGCCCAGUCCUCCAGGCAAAGCAUCCCGAGCCCCUUCAGCUGCUCCAGAUAUGGCGCCGUCUGCAGCCCCUCCCUGGACAGCCCAGCCCACCCUGCGCACUUCACCGAAGAGCCCAGAAUGUCACCCAAAAUGCCUUCCGUCAGCCUGGGCCAAGACACCUCCCUCUCAUCUGCACCCAGGGCGCUGAAUCUGUGGCCACUGGCUCCUUCUCUCUUAAUCACACACACACUGGCCCCUUCUCUCUUAAUCCUGCCGCCACUGUCCCCUUCUCCCCUAAUCCUCCCCCCCAAUGGCUCCUUCUCUCCUAAUCCCCCCACACUGGCUCCUCUCCUAAUCCGACCUCCCACUGGAUCCUCUCCUAAUCCCCCCACUAGCCCCUUCUCUCCUAAUCCCCCCAAAAUGGCUCUUUCUCUCCCAUAAUUUCCCCUGCCACUCCUCUCCUAAUCCCCAGAUUGGCUCCUCAUAAUCCCCCUCUACUGGCCCAUUCUCUCCUAAUAACCCUCCACUGCUUUCUUCUCUCCUAAUCCACCCCCCCCCACUGGCUCCUUCUCUCCUAAUCCCCCCACACUGGCUCCUCCUCUCCUAAUCUCCCCACUAGCCCCUUCUCUCCUAAUCCCCCCAAAAUGGCUCUUUCUCUCCAAUAAUUUCCCCUACCACUCCUCCUAAUCCCCAGAUUGGCUCCUCAUAAUCCCCCUCUACUGGCUCCUUCUCUUCUAAUCCACCCACACUGGCUCCUUCUCUCCUAAUUCAACCCCCACUAGCUAUUUCUCUCCUAAUCCUCCCCCACUGGCUCCUCUCCUAAUCUGCCCCCAUUGGCCCCUUCUCUCCUAAUCCCCCCCCAGUGGUUCCUUCUCUCCUAAUGUCCCACCCACUAGUUCCUUCUCUCCUAAUCCCCCCCACUGGCUCCUCCUAAUCCGUCCUCCCUCCAGCUACUUCUCUGCUAAUCCCCCUACCAACUACUUCUCCCCUAAUCCCUUAACUCUGGCUCCUCUAUUAAUCUGCCCCCACUGUCCCCUUCUCUCCUAAUCCCCCCACUCUGGCCCCUUCUCUCCUAAUCCCCCCACUCUGGCCCCUUCUCUCCUAAUCCCCCCACACUGGCUCCUCUCCUAACCGCCCCCCCCCCCACUGCCUCAUCUCCUAAUCCCCUCACACUGGCUCUUUCUCUCCUAAUUCUUCCCCUUCUACUCUCCUAAUCUCCCCCCCCCCAUCUCCUUUUAUAAUCCCCCCAGUGGCUCCUUCUCUCCUAAUUAUCUCCCUCCUUUCCUAAUCUCCCCUCAGUGUCUCCUCUUAUAAUCCCCCCAAUGGCUCCUUCUCUUCUAAUUCCCCCUGCCCGUUCUCUCCUAAUCCCACCCAAUGGUUCCUUCUCUCCUAAUCCCCCCCCCAGUGGUUCCUUCUCUCCUAUUGCCCCCUCACUGGUUACUUCUCUCCUAAUCACCCCCCCCCCCGCCCGGUCUCCUCUUAAAAUCCAGGUGACUAGCUCCUUCUCUCCUAAUCCUCCCUGCUCUUUCUCUCCUAAUUCCUCCCCACUCCUUCUAUCCGAAUCCCCCCCAUUGACUCCUCUCCUAAUCCGCCUCCACUGGCUCCUCUCCUAAUUUCCUUCCACUGGCUUCUUCUCUCCUAAUCCCCCCAUUGGCUUCUAUCCUAAUCCCCCUCCACUGGCUUCUUCUCUCCUAAUCCCCCAAAACCGGAUCUUUCUCCCCUAAUCCCCUCCCACUAUUUCCUUCUCUCCUAAUCCCCCCACUUUGGCUCCUUCUCCCCUAAAACCCCCCACUGACUCCUUUUCCCCUAAUCCCUUCCCACUAGUUCCUUCUCUACUAAUCCCCCCACACACUCACACACACUAAUCUGCCCCCACUCUCCCCUUCUCUCCUAAUCCCCCCCCACUGGCCCCUUCUCUCCGAAUCCCCCCCACUGACUCCUUUUCCCCUAAUCCCUUCCCACUAGUUCCUUCUCUACUAAUCCCCCCACACACUCACACACACUAAUCUGCCCCCACUCUCCCCUUCUCUCCUAAUCCUCCCACACUGGCUCCUUCUCUCUGAAUCCCCCCCACUGACUCCUUUUCCCCUAAUCCCUUCCCACUAGUUCCUUCUCUACUAAUCCCCCCACACACUCACACACACUAAUCUGCCCCCACUCUCCCCUUCUCUCCUAAUCCCCCCCCCACUGGCCCCUUCUCUCCGAAUCCCCCCACUGACUCCUUUUCCCCUAAUCCCUUCCCACUAGUUCCUUCUCUACUAAUCCCCCCACACACUCACACACACUAAUCUGCCCCCACUCUCCCCUUCUCUCCUAAUCCUCCCACACUGGCUCCUUCUCUCCGAAUCCCCCCCACUGACUCCUUUUCCCCUAAUCCUUUCCCACUAGUUCCUUCUCUACUAAUCCCCCCACACACUCACACACACUAAUCUGCCCCCACUCUCCCCUUCUCUCCUAAUCCUCCCACACUGGCUCCUUAUCUGCUAAUCCCCCCCCCCACUGGCCUUCUCUCCUAAUCCCCCCAUGCUGGCUUCUUCUCUCCUAAUUUCCCCCACUGGUUCCUUCUCUCCUAAUUUCCCCCCACUGGUCCCUUCUCUCCUAAUUCCCCCCACGGUCCCCUUCUUUCCUAAUCUCCCCACCCUGGCUCCUUCUCUACUAAUCCAACCCCCCAUGGCUCCUCUACUAAUCUUCCUCCACUGGUCCCUUCUCCACUAAUACCCCUACACUGGCUCCUUCUCUCGUAAUCCCCCCAACAAUCCCCUUCUCUCCUAACCCCACCCACAAUGGCUCCUUCUCUCCCCUAAUCUCCCCCAACUGACUCCUUCUCUCCUAUCCACAACCUCCCACUUUCCCCUUCUCUCCUAAUCCCCCCAUGCUGGCUUCUUCUCUCCUAAUUCCCCCCAUGGUCCCCUUCUUUCCUAAUCUCCCCACCCUGGCUCCUUCUCUACUAAUCCAAUCCCCCAUGGCUCCUCUACUAAUCUUCCUCCACUGGUCCCUUCUCCACUAAUACCCCUACACUGGCUCCUUCUCUCGUAAUCCCAACAAUCCCCUUCUCUCCUAAUCCCCCCACACUGGCUCCUUCUCUCUUAAUCUUCCCCCACUGUCCCCUUCUUUCCUAAUCCUCCCACACUGGCUCCUCCUCUCCUAAUCCCCCCAUAAUGAUUCCUUUUCUGUUAAUCUGCCCCAUUGUCCCCUUCACACCUAAUCCUCCUACAGUGGCUGCUUCUCUCCUAAUCUCCCCAUUGGUUCCUCUCCUAAUACCUCCUCAUUGGCUCCUCUCCUAAUCCCCCCACACUGAUUCCCCCCCAAUCCCCUCCCACUAGUUCCUUCUCUCCUAAUCCCCCAUAAUGACUGCUUUUCUGUUAAUCUGCCCCACUGUCCCCUUCUCUCCUAAUUCCCCCCCCCAUUGUCCCCUUCUCUCCUAAUCCUCCUACACUGGGUCCUUCUCUCCUAACCCCCCCCCCAAUAGUUCCUUGUCUCCUAAUCCCCUUCUGUGGUUCCUUCUCUCCUAAUGCCUCCCACUGGCUCCUUCUCUCCUAAUCUCCCCCCACUGUCUCCUCUCCCAAUCCCCCCCCCCCCCCGCUCCUUUUGUCCUAAUUCCCCCUUCUCCUUCUCUCCUAAUCCCUCCCAAUGGUUCAUUUUCUCCUAAUCCCCUGCCCACUGGCUGUUUCUCUCCUAAUCCCCCCCCCCAUUGGCUCCUCACCUAAUCCCCCUCCACUGGCUUCUCUCCUAAUGCCCCCUCCCCAGCUGGCCCCUACUCUCCUAAUACCACCCACCACUGUCCCCUUCUCUUCUAAUCCCCCUCCACUUCCUCCUUCUAUCCUAAUCCCCCCAUUGGUUCCUUUCCUAAUCCCCCCCAUUGGCUCCUCUCCUAAUCCCCCUCCACACUGUAUCCUUCCCCCCUAAUCCCCCUCACUGACUCCAUCUCCCCAAAUCCCCUCCCACUACUUCCUUUUCUCCUAAUCCCUCCACACUGGCUCCUUCUCUGUUAUUCUGCCCCCACUGUCCCCUUCUCUCCUAAUCCCCUCCACUGUCCCCUUCUCUCCUAACCCCACCCACAAUGGCUCCUUCUCUUCCCUAAUCUCCCCCCACUGAUUCCUUCUCUCCUAACCACCACCACCCCCCACUGUCCCCUUCUAUCCUAAUACCCCACACUGGCUUCUUCUCUUUUAAUGGCCCCCACUGGUUCCUUCUCUAUUAAUCUGCCCCCACUGGCUCCUUCUCCCCUAACCCCCCCCACUGGCUCCUCUCCUAAUUCCUCCCUCCUCUCCUAAUCCCCCCAUUGGCUCCUCUCCUAAUCUCCCUCCACUGGCUCCUCUCCUAUUCCCCCCACACUUCUAUUUUCUUUGUAGCUGCCUCAGGACACUGGACUUCUAUCCAGCUGGCCGUACACUGAGACCACAGACUCUUCACCCAAACUAAGGUCUAGCCACAUCUCCUGGGAUGACCCCUGAAUAAAUGAAAGGAGCCUGUCUGGCCCAGCCUUCUUGGACUCUCUCCAGGUUCCUAGCCUCAAGUGAACCUGAUACUCCAGUCCUUACAACAGCCCUGAACAUUGCUGCCUCCUGGUUCUAGGUCUGACAUGCCAGGUCCUUCCAACUCUGCUAAUCUGUGCCGUGAGGACCCUCCCAGCUCUAUAGUUCUCUGUUCUCCAAAGGGCCCCCAGCCCUGACAUCUGACUGUUCCAGGUCCUUCCCCGCUCUUGACAUCCACUGUUCUAGGUCCUUCCCAGCUCUGACAUCUACUGUCACUGUUCUAAGUCCUUCCAACUCUGCUCAUCUCUACCCUGAGGACCCUCCCAGCUCUAAAGAGCUCUGUUCUCCUAAGGGCCCCCAGCCCUGACAUCCACUGUUCUAGGUCCUUCCCAGCCCUGACAUCCACUGUUCUAGGUCCUUCCCAGCCCUGACAUCCACUGUUCUAGGUCCUUCCCAGCCCUGACAUCCACUGUUCUAGGUCCUUCCCAGCCCUGACAUCCACUGUUCUAGGUCCUUCCCAGCCCUGAUAUCCUCUGCUCUAAGGCCACUUUGGACUGUCAGUCUAAGACCCAUCCCCAAGUCUGACAUCCUAUGUUCUUUUUGGUUCUCAGGUUCCUUCUCACUCUGACGUUCAGGCUAGUCUGUUCUAAGAUCUACUCCUGCUCUGAUCUUCUCUGUUGACCCUCCUAAGGGCCGUCUAGUUCUGACAAGGAACAUCUAUUGUUGGGGAGGGGCUUUCGGAUUUGUGGGGCCGAAGGAACCUCAGGAGCCUCCAGCACACAAGCCAGGAGCUUAGACCCCUGUGAGAUUGCCCCAGGAAUAGGGGGAGGGCUGGCCCUCGGCGCGGCCUGCCCCUCCCCCCCUCCCCAUCCGUUCUCUCAUUCCUCUCCCUUUGGACCAAAGCAUCGAGGGUCCGAGCUAAUAUCUCAGAGGGAAAACCCCGCGUUUCCACCUCAGCAAGAACAAGAUCCCGUAUCCUGGGCCACACAAAGCAGCUCAGGCCCCAGAACCUCAGUGGGAUGCCCAGGGGGCGGGCAGGGCUCUGGAGGGGCAGAAAUGGGCCCAGUAGAACUCGUCCUCCUCCUCCUCUUCCCAUCCAGCCUCUGCUAGCCCAGGCUGCUGCCAGGCUGGAGGCCCCCCUGAGCAUGCGGGCAGCUCUCAUUGUGAGGGAGCCACAGCUCACAGCCUCCCUCUCCUCUCCUCUCUCUUCCCAGAGUGCCCUCCGGUACAUUGAGGUACUCUAGACUAUUCCUCGGCCUCCCACCCGGCCUGCUCCCGCCUUGCCAGGCCCCCACAGCAGACAGGAGCCGUUGGGGUUUCUCCUCUGGGAACGGGAGGCCUUCCACAAAGUGGCUGCCUCCAAGCUGGCAUCUCUCAUUGCUCCAGAAAAAUGGACCCCUGAGCACGCCUAGAAUGUCUCUGCCCCGUGCCCGUCUCUGCCCCGUGCCCAUCUCUGCCCCGUGCCCGUCUCUGCCCCGUGCCCGUCUCUGCCCCGUGCCCGUCUCUGCCCCGUGCCCGUCUCUGCCCCGUGCCCGUCUCUGCCCCGUGCCCGUCUCUGCCCCGUGCCCGUCUCUGCCCCGUGCCCGUCUCUGCCCCGUGCCCGUCUCUGCCCCGUGCCCGUCUCUGCCCCGUGCCCGUCUCUGCCCCGUGCCCGCCUCUGCCCCGUGCCCAACUUGCCCAUUCACAAGCAAAGGCCAACGCCAAGCGGGCUUCUCCCAGGUCGCUGAGGCGUCGGGCCCCCUCCAGGUGCCGCGGGAAUGCUGCCCGCUGUCGCUGCAGGCCUCGCUGCCCCUUCCAGCCACCCCCUCGCCCGCCCUCCACAGGCUCUCCCGGCAGAGUCGCCGCCACUCUACGUCUCUGAGGACGCCCCGAGCUGCAGCGAGGCACCCCCGAGGCGGACAGCAACACUCCUACUGUGUGCAGGCUAGGCACUGGCCAUCCUUAUAAGACUCCACUUGAUCCCCCGAGUGACUUUAUUCCGUUUGGCUCCACGAUCUGCCCGAUGGAGAGGUUUGGAACCCCGACUUCAAGGCAGGUGACCCUCCCAGGCGGGGCCCCCCACAGAUGGGUGAGCGUGCCCUCUAUGUCCUUGGUGGAGUCACUGACACAAAUGUAAAGCCCAAACCACCAGUUGAGGCAUCCCUCCUCCAAUUACCAGCCAUUUGGAGCCUUUUCUCAUGUGGUCCUAAAUGGUGUACGCGUCUUCCUUUGAAAACAAUUUGCAGGGGGGCAGCUGGGUGGCUCAGUGGAUGGAGAGCCAGAUCUAGAGACGGGAGGUUCUGGGUUCAAAUCUGGCCUCAGACACUUCCUAGCUGGGUGACCCUGGAUAAGUCACUUGACCCCCAUUGCUAGCCCUGACCACUCUACUGCCUUGGAGCCAAGACUCAGUAUUGAUUCUAAGACAGAAGGGGAGGAUUUAAGAAAAAAAAAUUGAAAACAAUUUGCAUCCUCUAGCAAACCCUUUUGUCCCGGGAGUGGUUCUCGAUAUGUAUCACUUGGGGACUUGGUUUCCCCAUCCAUAAAAGGGGACAAUAAUCAUCCUUGCACUACCUCCCUCUCGGGGAUGCUUCGCAAACUUUGAAGCACUGAGGCAAUGGACAUAAAUACCAGGAGAUCCGCUCCCUGCCCUCCCAAAGGCGUAUGCUUCAGCAAAGGUUAACCAACGCCAACGCUAAUGGCAGCAGGACCCAGUGAGACACCCGGAAAAGUCCGUCUGAGAAGGAGAAAACAAGGGCUAUGUGCUGCGGUUGAGGAGGUGUCAGCACAGUCCGACGAUCAUCCUGGCCUCCUAAUGGGUCUCCCUGCCUCCAGCUUCUCCCCCUCUUGAAUCCGUUGCCCACAGACUCUCUCUAAAGCACACGUCAGUCUCCUGGGUCCCUUUGCUCCAAUAUCUUGCUCCCUUUUGCCUCUCCCCAGCCCAGCCUUUAAGGACGAUAGAAUCCGAGCUCCUGGCCAGAGAAGGACUAUUUCAUUCCUGCCUGCCCCGGGACACUGCUGCGUCCAACAAGUAAAUGUUUGGGAGACGCAUCGGACGGAACUAAGGCCUUCCACCAUCUGGCUCUGAACGCCAUAACUGUGCUCUGCUUAGGCAGAACUGCACGCCAGACCCCAAGCUUGGCAGUCCAGCGUCAGUUUCUUGGAAUUCCCACAAGAAGUCUCUCCUCCCCAGGAUGACUUCAAUUCCUGGGAAAACUCUAGGAUGAAUCACUGGAGAAAUGGUGAGUGCCUAUGUGGAAGGGGAAGCAGGGACGACCAGAGCCAGCAAGGCUGGAGCUCCAAAGUCGGUACAGUUUGCCUGGAUUUGGCGAAAGCAUUUGGGAAAAUCUCUCCUACUGUUCUUAAAGAGAAGAUGGCGAGUCGUGAGCUGCACAAGACUCCAAGGAGACGGAUUCAAAACAGGUCAAAAGGCCAGAGGCCAAAGACGAGUGAUGAACGAAUUUGUGUGGACUGGUGGAAGGGCUCCAAAGGAAGACCCCCGGAUCUGUGUCGGGCUCUAUUCUUAUCAGUGAUCUGGCUAAAGACAGAGCUGGCAUGCUCAGCACUUUUCAAAAGACAUUUUAAAAAAAUUAGUACUAGGCGGGGCAGCUGGGUGGCUCAGUAGAUUGAGAGCCAGGCCUAGAGACAGGAGGUUCUGGGUUCAAAUCUGACCUCAGACACUUCCCAGCUGUGUGACCCUGGGCAAGUCACUUGACCCCCAUUGCCUAGCCCUGAUCACUCUUCUGCCUUGGAGCCAAUACAUAGUAUUGAUUCUAAGACGG